AGUGAACGCUAGCGGGAUGCUUUACACAUGCAAGUAGAACGAGUGGCGGACGGGUGAGUAAUAUAUCGGAACGUGCCCAGUAGCGGGGGAUAACUACUCGAAAGAGUGGCUAAUACCGCAUACUAUUGGAGCGGCCGAUAUCGGAUUCGCUAGUUGGUGGGGUAAAGGCUAACAAAGGCCACGAUCCGUAGCUGGUUUGAGAGGACGACCCGCCACACUUGGACUGAGACAUGACCCAUACACCUACGAGAGGCAGCAGUAGGGAAUUUUGGAGAAUGGGGGAAACCCAGCUCCAGCCAUCCAGCGUAUAUGAGACGGCCUUCGGGUUGUAGAGGUCUGUUGGCAGAGAAGCGGGAUCUGCAGAAUAAGCAUCGGCUAACUACGUGCCAGCAGCCGCGGUAAUUC
rnacentral:rRNA from 1 species